CGCGCUGCGAGGGGAGGGCUUUCCACUGUCGCUGGCGUGAACUCGCGUGCCCGGUGGGUAUCAGGGAAGAACCCCCGCCCCGGACCCCCAGAUCUGCCAUGGCCGAGGCUUCACCAGGUACUGCCUUCUAACGAGCUGGCCAUUUCCACAUGUCAGAUAGGACCAACUUGCCUUUUAACUACCCGUGUGAUACUUAAACACUGUUGCCGGUAUCACAGCUUUUCUUCAAAACAGGAAGCAACGAGAAUGAGGGCAUUCCAGUAGCAGGAGACAGCAUGCAUAGAGAUGCUGAUGAAGAAAGAGCCUAGCGCACGUGGGAAACUGCAAAAGUUCAGACUGGUUGGAAUGCUGGAAAUGUUGUGAAUGACAGGAGAUGAGGCUGGCGAGAAAACAGAGGUCAGAUUGUGGAAGGCUGUCAAGCCAAAGACUUUGAUUUUAUUCUUGAGAUUGAUGAGAUGUGUGUAAUCCAGGAGUGUGCAAAACAAUCUGUAAGGGUUCAGAAAACAUACUGCUUCUAUAUAUAGUUACCUUUGUCUUAACUUGAAAAUUUCAAAUUGUGUAGGAGUUACAAUGUGUGUAAUUGUUAUUAUAGUACUGGAUCCAAAUAAUUUAUAAAUAAAUAAAUAUAGACAU
rnacentral:lncRNA from 1 species